rnacentral:rRNA from 1 species
UGGGGAAUAUUGGACAAUGGGCGCAAGCCUGAUCCAGCCAUGCCGCGUGAGUGAUGAAGGCCCUAGGGUUGUAAAGCUCUUUCGCCAGGGACGAUAAUGACGGUACCUGGAUAAGAAGCCCCGGCUAACUUCGUGCCAGCAGCCGCGGUAAUACGAAGGGGGCUAGCGUUGUUCGGAAUCACUGGGCGUAAAGCGCACGUAGGCGGAUCUUUAAGUCAGGGGUGAAAUCCCGAGGCUCAACCUCGGAACUGCCUUUGAUACUGGAGGUCUCGAGUUCGGGAGAGGUGAGUGGAACUGCGAGUGUAGAGGUGAAAUUCGUAGAUAUUCGCAAGAACACCAGUGGCGAAGGCGGCUCACUGGCCCGAUACUGACGCUGAGGUGCGAAAGCGUGGGGAGCAAAACAGGAUUAGAUACCCUGGUAGUCCACGCCGUAAACGAUGGGUGCUAGCCGUUGGGGGAGCUUGCUCUUCAGUGGCGCAGCUAACGCUUUAAGCAUCCCGCCUGGGGNGUACGGUCGCAAGAUAAAACUCAAAUGAAUUGACGGGGUCAUAGCUGUUUCUG